UUAAGUUCAGCGGGUAUCCCUACCUGAUCCGAGGUCAACCUUAAAAAGUUGGGGGUUGUUGGCAAGCGACCGCAAGGCCCAAUCGCGAGAAAAAUUACUACGCGUAGAGCCAGACGGCACCGCCACUGCUUUUAAGGGCCGCCCGUACAGCGAGCCCCAAAUCCACGCGGAGCGUGAGUGGUCAUAAUGACGCUCGAACA
rnacentral:misc_RNA from 1 species